rnacentral:rRNA from 1 species
AUUCCAGCUCCAAUAGCGUAUAUUAAAGUUGUUGCGGUUAAAAAGCUCGUAGUUGGAGUUCUGCCAGGUGCCACCUGUCCGCCCCAGUGGUGAGUACGUGGUGCGCAUUUGGCCCUUUCAAGGGGAGCGUAUUUGCACUUAAUUGUGUGGUGCGGGAUCCUUGACUUUUACUUUGAGGAAAUAAGAGUGUUCCAAGCAGGCUCUCGUCGUGCAUAGCUCAGCAUGGAAUAAUAGCAUUGGACCUCGAUUCUAAGCUGUUGGUUGCCAGAAGCGAGGUAAUGAUGAAGAGGGAUAGUUGGGGGCAUUCGUAUUUAACUGUCAGAGGUGAAAUUCUUGGACUUAUGAAAGAUGAACUUCUGCGAAAGCAUUUGCCAAGGAUGUUCUCAUCA